GACGAACGCUGGCGGCGUGCUUAACACAUGCAAGUCGAACGGAAAGGCCCUGCUUGCAGGGUACUCGAGUGGCGAACGGGUGAGUAACACGUGGGUGAUCUGCCCUGCACUUCGGGAUAAGCUUGGGAAACUGGGUCUAAUACCGGAUAGGAACCAUCUUUAGUGUGGUGGUUGGAAAGUUUUUUCGGUGUAGGAUGAGCUCGCGGCCUAUCAGCUUGUUGGUGGGGUAAUGGCCUACCAAGGCGGCGACGGGUAGCCGGCCUGAGAGGGUGUACGGCCACAUUGGGACUGAGAUACGGCCCAGACUCCUACGCGGGGCAGCAGUGGGGAAUAUUGCACAAUGGGCGCAAGCCUGAUGCAGCGACGCCGCGUGGGGGAUGAAGGCCUUCGGGUUGUAAACUCCUUUCGCUAGGGACGAAGCUUUGUUGUGACGGUACCUAGAUAAGAAGCACCGGCUAACUACGUG
rnacentral:rRNA from 1 species